AGAUAAAUUCGGCAUAGGAGGCAGAUUCGGGUGGCUGCUUCCAUUCGGGUGUCAGCCACAGACUUGGGAUCUCGAAAAGUGCGAGAAAGUGGGUGGUUGUUCCAUUGGGUGGUUUUUCUGGGAACCGGGAUAAGGAUCCAGGGACAAGGAAUCAGGGAAUCAAGCAAUCUGACAGUAGCAUCGCGUGGGAUGUGAACAAGUUCUUGAAUUUUCAUUUUCAUUCUCAUCCUCAUUUCAAUUUUCCCGGCUCGCAAAUUUCAUUGUCUGAAGGCGUUGGCUUUGUCACUUUCAGGCCGGGAUUAGCUUACAACGUGGCCCACUGAAUCGGAGGCGAUUCCGUUGUCAUUGCUGUGAAAUUCAGAAAAAGGUUUCCCAAGAAAUAGAUUAGAUUUAUUGUUAGCGAUGCAAGUGAUGUAAAUAUUUUUGAAUAGUGCCACAGACUGUCAACAACUUUCGUUAUUUAUGUGUGGAUGCUGUGGGGAUGGGGGCGUCUCUUGCCACGCCCACUUGCCGCUGUUCACACAAAAAAAAAAGAAGAAAAUAUCGCGGCCAGCCAGAUGAGACACAUGGCUGAAACGGUGGCGAUCACUUGGAAAAGUGGGCGUGCCUGCCCCCAGGAAGAGUUGAGUUCACUCCAUGAGGCAUGGGAAGAAGUGAAGGUGCCACGGAUGGAUGCCGCCGCUUUCCUCGCAUUUUGUACUUCAAUCUUUUUUUGGCUACCGCUCAUUGGUGGCAACACCAAAUGGGCGUGGUAAUGAGGUCCACUGAUGAUCGUGAUGGGGGCAGAGGAAGUCGUUGACAUUUUCGAGUGCCGCGAUCAGCAAAUAUUUCCCCUGUUUCUGAUCCUAUGGCCGCACUGAAUAAAUUCUCAAAUAAAAUCUUUUAUACAUGUAA